rnacentral:rRNA from 1 species
CCCUGGUAGUCCACCCCGUAAACGUUGGGAACUAGUUGUGGGGACCAUUCCACGGUUUCCGUGACGCAGCUAACGCAUUAAGUUCCCCGCCUGGGGAGUACGGCCGCAAGGCUAAAACUCAAAGGAAUUGACGGGGACCCGCACAAGCGGCGGAGCAUGCGGAUUAAUUCGAUGCAACGCGAAGAACCUUACCAAGGCUUGACAUAUACGAGAACGGGCCAGAAAUGGUCAACUCUUUGGACACUCGUAAACAGGUGGUGCAUGGUUGUCGUCAGCUCGUGUCGUGAGAUGUUGGGUUAAGUCCCGCAACGAGCGCAACCCUCGUUCUAUGUUGCCAGCACGUAAUGGUGGGAACUCAUGGGAUACUGCCGGGGUCAACUCGGAGGAAGGUGGGGAUGACGUCAAAUCAUCAUGCCCCUUAUGUCUUGGGCUUCACGCAUGCUACAAUGGCCGGUACAAAGGGCUGCAAUACCGUGAGGUGGAGCGAAUCCCAAAAAGCCGGUCCCAGUUCGGAUUGAGGUCUGCAACUCGACCUCAUGAAGUCGGAGUCGCUAGUAAUCGCAGAUCAGCAACGCUGCGGUGAAUACGUUCCCGGGUCUUGUACACACCGCCCGUCAAGUCAUGAAAGUCGGUAACACCUGAAGCCGGUGGCCUAACCCUUGUGGAGGGAGCCGUCGAAGGUGGGAUCGGUAAUUAGGACUAAGUCG